GCGCCCGUAGCUCAGUAGGAUAGAGCACGGGAUUCCUAAUCCCGGGGUCACAGGUUCGAAUCCUGUCGGGCGCACCA
rnacentral:tRNA from 1 species